rnacentral:rRNA from 1 species
UACGGGGGGGGCGAGCGUUGUUCGGGAUUAUUGGGCGUAAAGGGCGCGUAGGCGGUGUGGUAAGUCUGUUGUGAAACCUCCAGGCUCAACUUGGAGCUUGCAUCAGAAACUGCCGUGCUAGAGUGUGGGAGAGGAGAGUGGAAUUCCUGGUGUAGCGGUGAAAUGCGUAGAUAUCAGGAGGAACACCGGUGGCGAAAGCGGCUCUCUGGACCACAACUGACGCUGAGGCGCGAAAGCUAGGGGAGCAAACAGG